GUAUUGGGGUCCCCCAACUCUCUUCCGAUGCCAGAUGUUGAUAAGGAUUGGGCUUAUUCCCCUCUUCCCAUUCAGCACACCUACAUGCUUAGCUGAAACGCGUAUGCUUGGGUAUCAUGGUGGUAAGGAAGAGAUAGCAUUCAGUCAAAUGCUUAUUUGGAUAACAGCUAUCUCAUGUUUAUGGCCAGCAUUGGGCUUACCCCUGAAAAGAGAAAUAUAUGAUAUGACACGCUAGUGAACUAAUCACUUCUAAACAUUGCAAGAAGUUAUUUCUAUACCAGGCUCAUUGUUAGGUGUUAUGAUUAAGACAAGAUACUUAAUGUACUUAUUGUGAUUUUUGUGAUGUUUCACUGCACUUACCUUGAGGCUAGGUUCACACUUAUGCUAAGUAGGGACACAUUUCUACAGUAACAGAACAAAUCUGUACACAUUGCUCCAGCAAAACAUUUUUCUUUUGUUAUUUGUGCUUUUACGUUGUCAGCGGAGAAAUUUAUUAUGACCAAUUUAACUUUUAGAAUAAAAAAGCAUAACCUGCAUUAUGCUAUCUUCUUCUAUAAAAAGGUACCACAGGUUUGAAUGAGCACUACGGUGGAGAGUGGUCAUUGCUCAAAUAUUGAGAUUAGAGAACUAAUGUGGACAGUAGAAGGGGCUCAUUACUCUACUAUGGGGAGUAGAGAGUGCUCAUUGCUUUAAUAUGGAGAGUAGAGAGUGCUCAUUCCUCUAAUGUGGACCGUAGAAGGUGCUCAUUGCUCUAAUGUGGACAGUAGAAGGUGCUCAUUGCUCUAAUGUGGGGAGUAGAGAGUGCUCAUUGCUCUAAUAUGGAGAGUAGAGAGUGCUCAUUUCUCUAACGUAGAGAGUGCUCAUUGCUCUAAUAUAGACAGUAGAAGGUGCUCAUUGCUCUAAUAUGAAGAGUAGAGAAUGCUCAUUGCUCUAAUAUGGACAGUAGAAGGUGCUCAUUGCUCUAACGUGGACAGUAGAGAGUGCUCAUCAUGUUCCAACAUGGAAAGAACAUGAGCACUGUUCAUAGCUGUAAUGUGGAGAGUCAAGAGUGCUCAUUGCUCUAAAAUGGGGAGUAAAGAGCAUUCAUUGGUUCAAGGUGGAAAAUAGGGAGUUGUGUCUGUAGCAGAGAUAAGUAUGGGAAUGCUUAAUUAAAAGGACUAUGCCUGUACUGUUCAUGCAAGAAUCCUGAUUAUCCUGUGUAGAUUUACAUUCACUUGCUGAUCUUUUUCCAACAUCUUCUCGAAGGUUGUUCCAAGCAUCUACUACUUGCUCAGCAAAAAAAAAAAAAUUUUUUAAAUGACAUUGCUUUUAAUUUUUCCCACAAUUAUUAUUUUUGCUUAAUAGCCUCCAAUUCAAUUUGUGUAGACCAUCUUUGGACCUGUUCAAACAAUAUAUAUAAUAGUCCAUGUAAAACGUGCCAAUCUUGAUAUGAUUACAUUAUAUAUUUCUAGUGGUGAUUUCAUAUGGAAGUGUGUUUUUAUAGGUUAGUAUAAAACUAAGU